GCAAGUCNCACGGGAUCAAUUUUGUAGCAUACACGAUUGCUUCAGUGGCGCACGGGUGAGUAACACGUGAAUUACAUGCCCUUCAGUGGGGAAUAGCUCAGGGAAACUUGGAUUAAUACCCCAUGGUAUCGCGAGAUUAAAGGUGGCCGCAAGGCUGUCGCUGAAGGAUUGGUUCGCGCCCUAUCAGCUUGUUGGUGAGGUAACGGCUCACCAAGGCUACGACGGGUACCUGGUCUGAGAGGACGAUCAGGCACACUGGAACUGAGACACGGUCCAGACACCUACGGGUGGCAGCAGUCGAGAAUAAUUCACAAUGGGGGCAACCCUGAUGGUGCAACGCCGCGUGGAGGAUGACGGUCUUCGGAUUGUAAACUCCUGUCAUCCGGGAGUAAGACCUGGCUGUGAAUAGCAGACAGGGUUGAUAGUACCGGAAGAGGAAGGGACGGCUAACUUCGUGCCAGCAGCCGCGGUAAUACGAAGGUCCCGAGCGUUGUUCCGGAAUCACUGGGCGUAAAGGGAGCGUANGCGGCGUGGUAAGUCAGAUGCGAAAUCCCGGGGCUCAACCCNGAACUGCAUCCGAUACUGCCGUGCUAAAGNAUUGGANAGUAGCUGGAAUUCUUGGUGUAACAGUGAAUGCNUGGAANAUCAAAAGAACCUCGUGGCGAAGCNACUACUGGACAUUUCUGACCUGAGCUCAANGCANGUACGAAGGAUNAAUCCCCUGUNUCUGCAAAACGUGUNCCUNGNGGAGGAAUCACCCCUUUGCCGAGCUCGAAGGCCAGGGUAGCGAAAGGGAUUAGAUACCCCUGUAGUCCUGGCAGUAAACGGUGUGCGCUUGGUGUGAGGGGAAUCGACCCCCCUUGUGCCGGAGCUAACGCGUUAAGCGCACCGCCUGGGAAGUACGGUCGCAAGACUAAAACUCAAAGAAAUUGACGGGGACCCGCACAAGCGGUGGAGUAUGUGGCUUAAUUCGAUGCAACGCGAAGAACCUUACCUAGGCUUGACAUGCAUCUCUAAGCGCGUGAAAGCGCGUGACCCUUCNGGGGAUUUGCACAGGUGCUGCAUGGCCGUCGUCAGCUCGUGUCGUGAGAUGUUGGGUUAAGUCCCGCAACGAGCGCAACCNUUGUGAACAGUUGCCAGCACUUAAGGUGGGAACUCUGUUCANACUGCCCA
rnacentral:rRNA from 1 species